ACAGGCUUAACACAUGCAAGUCGAGGGGCAGCAUGGUCUUAGCUUGCUAAGACUGAUGGCGACCGGCGCACGGGUGAGUAACACGUAUCCAACCUGCCGUCUACUCUUGGACAGCCUUCUGAAAGGAAGAUUAAUACAAGAUGGCAUCAUGAGUCCACAUGUUCACAUGAUUAAAGGUAUUCCGGUAGACGAUGGGGAUGCGUUCCAUUAGAUAGUAGGCGGGGUAACGGCCCACCUAGUCUUCGAUGGAUAGGGGUUCUGAGAGGAAGGUCCCCCACAUUGGAACUGAGACACGGUCCAAACUCCUACGGGAGGCAGCAGUGAGGAAUAUUGGUCAAUGGGCGAGAGCCUGAACCAGCCAAGUAGCGUGAAGGAUGACUGCCCUAUGGGUUGUAAACUUCUUUUAUAAAGGAAUAAAGUCGGGUAUGCAUACCCGUUUGCAUGUACUUUAUGAAUAAGGAUCGGCUAACUCCGUGCCAGCAGCCGCGGUAAUACGGAGGAUCCGAGCGUUAUCCGGAUUUAUUGGGUUUAAAGGGAGCGUAGAUGGAUGUUUAAGUCAGUUGUGAAAGUUUGCGGCUCAACCGUAAAAUUGCAGUUGAUACUGGAUAUCUUGAGUGCAGUUGAGGCAGGCGGAAUUCGUGGUGUAGCGGUGAAAUGCUUAGAUAUCACGAAGAACUCCGAUUGCGAAGGCAGCCUGCUAAGCUGCAACUGACAUUGAGGCUCGAAAGUGUGGGUAUCAAACAGGAUUAGAUACCCUGGUAGUCCACACGGUAAACGAUGAAUACUCGCUGUUUGCGAUAUACAGCAAGCGGCCAAGCGAAAGCGUUAAGUAUUCCACCUGGGGAGUACGCCGGCAACGGUGAAACUCAAAGGAAUUGACGGGGGCCCGCACAAGCGGAGGAACAUGUGGUUUAAUUCGAUGAUACGCGAGGAACCUUACCCGGGCUUAAAUUGCAGAUGAAUUACGGUGAAAGCCGUAAGCCGCAAGGCAUCUGUGAAGGUGCUGCAUGGUUGUCGUCAGCUCGUGCCGUGAGGUGUCGGCUUAAGUGCCAUAACGAGCGCAACCCUUGUUGUCAGUUACUAACAGGUUCUGCUGAGGACUCUGACAAGACUGCCAUCGUAAGAUGUGAGGAAGGUGGGGAUGACGUCAAAUCAGCACGGCCCUUACGUCCGGGGCUACACACGUGUUACAAUGGGGGGUACAGAGGGCCGCUACCACGCGAGUGGAUGCCAAUCCCAAAAACCUCUCUCAGUUCGGACUGGAGUCUGCAACCCGACUCCACGAAGCUGGAUUCGCUAGUAAUCGCGCAUCAGCCACGGCGCGGUGAAUACGUUCCCGGGCCUUGUACAC
rnacentral:rRNA from 1 species